UACAGAGGGUGCGAGCGUUAAUCGGAAUUACUGGGCGUAAAGCGCGCGUAGGCGGCUUUGCAAGUCGGGUGUGAAAUCCCCAAGCUUAACUUGGGAACUGCAUUCGAGACUGCAUUGCUAGAGUAUGGGAGAGGGAAGUGGAAUUUCAGGUGUAGCGGUGAAAUGCGUAGAUAUCUGAAGGAACAUCAGUGGCGAAAAGCGACUUCCUGGACCAAUACUGACGCUCAUGUGCGAAAGCGUGGGGAGCAAACAGG
rnacentral:rRNA from 1 species